UUCCAGACUCCUACGGGAGGCAGCAGUGGGGAAUAUUGCACAAUGGGGGAAACCCUGAUGCAGCGACGCCGCGUGAGCGAUGCAGUAUUUCGGUAUGUAAAGCUCUCUCAGCAGGGAAGAAGAUGACGGUACCUGACUGAGAAGCCCUGGCUAACUACGUGCCAGCAGCCGCGGUAAUACGUAGGGGGCAAGCGUUAUCCGGAUUUACUGGGUGUAAAGGGAGCGUAGACGGCGAUGCAAGCCAGAUGUGAAAGCCCGGGGCUCAACCCCGGGACUGCAUUUGGAACUGUGUGGCUGGAGUGUCGGAGAGGCAGGCGGAAUUCCUAGGGUAGCGGUGAAAUGCGUAGAUAUUAGGAGGAACACCAGUGGCGAAGGCGGCCUGCUGGACGAUGACUGACGUUGAGGCUCGAAAGCGUGGGGAGCAAACAGGAUUAGAUACCCGUGUA
rnacentral:rRNA from 1 species